rnacentral:lncRNA from 1 species
GACAAUAGCUUACCUUCAAUUAUCUUUAGGUCCCAUAGGCUCUCUGGUGCACAUCUCACAUCUGAAGAAUUUGAAAAAGUGCUUAAGUAGUUCCUCAAAAUUUGGUAUGAUAAACAUCAUGAAAUUUUUGUAUUUGACUCACCAGACUUAAUUUCCAUUCCUUUUCUGUUUUGACAGAAUUUCUUCUUUUAAAAAAUUUCUGUAAUUUAUUAGUUCUAACUGCCUCCUUCAUUUUACUUCAAUCACAUCAACUCCUUUUUUGUUCUUAACUUUUAUAGGUGUGUAAAAGUACCCAUUUUGACAAUUACUUUAACUAUCAAAUAUGGUGCUCUUAAAAAAAAAAAAAGAAAAAAAAGAAAAAAGAAAAAAAAAGAUGACUGUAUCAUCUGAAAGCAUUUUAUACUUUUUACAAUUGUCUUUAUUAUUUCUGGAAAACAAUAACUUUUCCCUCAGUAGCUUAUGGAAACAGUGAAAUAUUUUAUUUCCUGUCCUUCUCCUGUCUUUCGUGGCUUUCUGGGUAGCUUUCUAAUGCAGCUUGUCUUGGUAAAUGAUGAGGAAAAAGGAAUUCUUAUAUCACUCUGUGCUAAAACCUGAGACUUUUUUCCAUCUUCACUUGAGAAAUUCCCCUCAAACUAAUCAAUGAUGUAUUCAUUGAUUGUUGGUGCAUGGUCUGUUUGUAACUGUAGAUAGCAUCUUGACAACAACUUUCCUGGACAUCUUCCAGAACUUGAUGAAAAUACGAUGCUCACUUCUGGACAAUUUGAGUUACUACAUAUUUGCUAUAAAACAAACAAAAAAACAAACAAAAAAUCAGUGGCCAUACUGGAGUGCUAUUAAUUAUAGUGAAUUAUAUUUUUCACAGUCUAUUUCUUUUUCAUUCAUAGAGUCGUAAUGUGUGAGAACACUGAGGUAGACCAAACAGGUUUUACAGCAAGGACCAUAGACAUCAUUUGCAAAUAUGAUAUAUAUAUAUAUAUACUCUAAGGCAUGCAAGAGCAUACUGGAAGCGCUGAACACAUGGAUAAAACACUCUGGGGUAUGCUGCCAUUCACAGUUCUGGACACUGUCCAGAUGGUCUACAGAUAGCAAAAACAAUUCAUCUAGUAGAAGCAAGAAGAGAGUGGGUAAGACUGUUUAUAUGACAAAGAACUAUUGAGUUGAGAAACUCCUUUUGGCUAGUGUCAGUGAAAAAGGAAGACCUUUUUGAAAACAUCACAUCAGCUGCAAUUCACCCGAACUCUUAUUGUUUUUCUCCUUAAAGCUGUUUCCCUCUUGCUGGCAAUUUAUUUAUUUUUACCGUUUUUUUCUUGAUUUCCCUCUACUCUGUGUUCUGCAACUGUAACAAACUUCUUGUUUCUCAAUGAACAGAUUUUUUUGCAGUGUAUGACCUUAUAUCUGGGUACAUCUUUGAUGUUAUGCUCGCUCUCUACCUCAGCCAGCCAGCUAUCACACAGAGCUGUGAUAAUCACAGGUUUCAUACUAUGUUUCUGAAAAAUAAACUGAAAAAUAGACAAUGAAAUAUCA